GAGGCUGGAGGCAAGAGAGUAACAGGCUGGGAGAAAACCACUCCCCUUAUCUUCUAGGCCACCUACGCCUGGAGCCAACCCUGUUAGGUGGAGAUAAUGGGCCGUCUAACCGCGAUCUGGCAGAUAAAGAGGAUACAACGCAGAGUGUACCAGCGCCCAGGAUAUGAAUUGAAGAAACCCACUUAUCUUUCCAAACUUGGACUGCAAGUGAGAAAUGGCAGGGUCACUGAUGUGGAAGGGAAGACCAAAGGGUGUUAUAGUGAGUCAUAUACCAGCUUGGAGCCCUAGACCUGGGCGGGUGGGGACGUAGGUCACCUUUCUUGGCUGUUGAAACAAAUGAGAGUUAUAAAAUCUCCACCCCUUAGUUCCAUUACACUUCAUACCUGUUUUUCCUGUCCAUGCGUUUGGAAGCUUGCCUGUACCUUUUAAAUAUGUUCUCUGUAGCAAGUGACUUCUAGGUUUAAUAAAGAAGAAGAAAAACCCAUAGGUUUCUAGAUUGGAAACUAGGAAAACUGUGGUAUUCUUGAGUUGUAAUCAGGAGGUCAUAGAAUUGAGAAAAUAGUAAUUAACUGAUUGGAAAUGAAG
rnacentral:lncRNA from 1 species